UAUAGUCCUCUUACUGAUGACAGAUAGUUGAGUCUCUGCACUGCUAAAGUGACUGAUUGAAAGGAACUUUGUUGAUGUUUGUUGCAAUGCGGUAGAUCAAAGUAUUGUUCUUUUGAUCAAUUCUGAGAUCCUGAGUAGAUGUUAAAGGUUUUUUAUCUCCACAGACUGGCAUCCAGAUAGAAAAUGAUAGUGUUACAUAGCUUAUUCUAAAUGUGAAAAGAAUCUCCAGAGAGAUGUUGGUACCUCAU
rnacentral:lncRNA from 1 species